AGUCCCUUUUUGUUUCCGGCCACUGUGUCUUUAUGGCCAGUGUUGCAUUUGGAAACGGGGACUUUUUUUAUCUGCUAGGCGCCCAGCCCUUCCAGUUCUGCUGGCGGGGCUGGUCUUGUUGCCUAGCACUUUUACUUUGAAAAAAUUAGAGUGUUCAAAGCAGGCUUUUACAAGCUUGAAUAUCUUAGCAUGGAAUAAUAGAAUAGGACUUUGGUUCUAUUUUGUUGGUUUCUAGGACUAGAGUA
rnacentral:rRNA from 1 species